GAUGAAGAACGUAGCGAAAUGCGAAAAGUAAUGUGAAUUGCAGAAUUCAGUGAAUCAUCGAAUCUUUGAACGCACAUUGCGCCCGCUGGUACUCCGGCGGGCACGCCUGUCCGAGCGUCAUUUCAACCCUCAAGCCCUCCUUCGGGAUGGGCCUGGUGUUGGGGCUCGGCCGCCAUCUCCGGCGGCCGUCCCCUAAAUACAGUGGCGGUCACGUCGCGACUCCUUUGCGUAGUAGAAACACCUCGCUCCGGAUAGCAACGCGGUCCACGCCGUAAAACCCCCAAUUUUCAAUGGUUGACCUCGGAUCAGGUAGGGAUACCCGCUGAACUUAAGCAUAUCAAUAAGCGGAGGA
rnacentral:misc_RNA from 1 species